GUCGUACGAGAUCCAACCAGUGGCAACACUGGGGAAGAUCUAGUGGCGAACGGGUGAGUAACACGUGAGGAACCUGCCCCGAAGUCUGGGAUAAGCCCUCGAAAGGGGGUCUAAUACCGGAUGUCCUCAUCAGGCCGCAUGGCCAGAUGAGGAAAGGUCCGCUGCUUCGGGAGGGCCUCGCGGCCUAUCAGCUUGUUGGUGAGGUAGCGGCUCACCAAGGCGACGACGGGUAGCUGGUCUGAGAGGACGAUCAGCCACACUGGGACUGAGACACGGCCCAGACUCCUACGGGAGGCAGCAGUGGGGAAUCUUGCGCAAUGGGCGAAAGCCUGACGCAGCAACGCCGCGUGCGGGAUGACGGCCUUCGGGUUGUAAACCGCUUUCAGUGGGGACGAAAUCAGACGGUACCCACAGAAGAAGCCCCGGCCAACUACGUGCCAGCAGCCGCGGUAACACGUAGGGGGCGAGCGUUGUCCGGAUUCAUUGGGCGUAAAGAGCUCGUAGGCGGCUCAGUAAGUCGGGUGUGAAACCCUCAGGCUCAACCUGGGGACGCCACUCGAUACUGCUGUGGCUAGAGUCCAGUAGAGGAGUGUGGGAUUCCCGGUGUAGCGGUGAAAUGCGCAGAUAUCGGGAGGAACACCAACGGCGAAUGCAGCACUCUGGGCUGGAACUGACGCUGAGGAGCGAAAGCGUGGGUAGCAAACAGGAUUAGAUACCCUGGUAGUCCACGCCGUAAACGUUGGGCACUGGGUGUGGGGCCCCUCCAACGGGUUCCGUGCCGUAGCUAACGCAUUAAGUGCCCCGCCUGGGGAGUACGGCCGCAAGGCUAAACUCAAAGGAAUUGGCGGGGG
rnacentral:rRNA from 1 species